rnacentral:rRNA from 1 species
AUUGAACGCUGGCGGCAGGCCUAACACAUGCAAGUCGAGCGAGCGGCGGACGGGUGAGUAAUGUAUGGGGACUGCCCGAUAGAGGGGGAUAACUACUGGAAACGGUGGCUAAUACCGCAUACUAUCGGAUAACCCAUAUGGGAUUAGCUAGUAGGUGGGGUAAAGGCUCACCUAGGCGACGAUCUCUAGCUGGGCUGAGAGGAUGAUAAGCCACACUGGGACGGAAACACGGCCCAGAGUCCUACGGAGGAAUAGGUGGGGAAUAUUGAAAAAUGGGCGAAAGCCUAAUGCAGCCAUGCCGGGUGUAUGAAGAAGGCCUUAGGGUUGUAAAGUACUUUCAGCGGGGAGGCGUUACCCGCAGAAGAAGCACCGGCUACCUCCGUGCCAGCAGCGGCGGUAAUA